AACGAACGCUGGCGGCAUGCCUAACACAUGCAAGUCGAACGAAGCCUUCGGGCUUAGUGGCGCACGGGUGCGUAACGCGUGGGAAUCUGCCCUUGGGUUCGGAAUAACAGUUAGAAAUGACUGCUAAUACCGAAUGAUGUCUUCGGACCAAAGAUUUAUCGCCCAAGGAUGAGCCCGCGUCGGAUUAGCUAGUUGGUGAGGUAAAGGCUCACCAAGGCGACGAUCCGUAGCUGGUCUGAGAGGAUGAUCAGCCACACUGGGACUGAGACACGGCCCAGACUCCUACGGGAGGCAGCAGUGGGGAAUAUUGGGACAAAUGGGCGAAAAGCCUGAUCCAGCAAUGCCGCGUGAGUGAUGAAGGCCUUAGGGUUGUAAAGCUCUUUUACCCGGGAUGAUAAUGACAGUACCGGGAGAAAUAAGCCCCGGCUAACUCCGUGCCAGCAGCCGCGGUAAU
rnacentral:rRNA from 1 species